UACGUAGGUGGCAAGCGUUGUUCGGAAUUACUGGGCGUAAAGCGCACGUAGGCGGAUUGGAAAGUUGGGGGUGAAAUCCCGGGGCUCAACCUCGGAACUGCCUCCAAAACUAUCAGUCUGGAGUUCGAGAGAGGUGAGUGGAAUUACGAGUGUAGAGGUGAAAUUCGUAGAUAUUCGGUGGAACACAAGUGGCGAAGGCGGCUCACUGGCUCGAUACUGACGCUGAGGGGCGAAAGCGUGGGGAGCAAACAGG
rnacentral:misc_RNA from 1 species